AGCGAACGCUGGCGGCAGGCCUAACACAUGCAAGUCGAACGAACCUUUCGGGGUUAGUGGCGGACGGGUGAGUAACACGUGGGAACGUGCCUUUAGGUUCGGAAUAACUCAGGGAAACUUGUGCUAAUACCGAAUGUGCCCUUCGGGGGAAAGAUUUAUCGCCUUUAGAGCGGCCCGCGUCUGAUUAGCUAGUUGGUUGAGGUAAUGGCUCACCAAGGCGACGAUCAGUAGCUGGUCUGAGAGAAUGAUCAGCCACAUUGGGACUGAGACACGGCCCAAACUCCUACGGGAGGCAGCAGUGGGGAAUCUUGCGCAAUGGGCGAAAGCCUGACGCAGCCAUGCCGCGUGAAUGAUGAAGGUCUUAGGAUUGUAAAAUUCUUUCACCGGGGACGAUAAUGACGGUACCCGGAGAAGAAGCCCCGGCUAACUUCGUG
rnacentral:rRNA from 1 species